rnacentral:rRNA from 1 species
CCUACGGGCGGCAGCAGUGAGGAAUAUUGGUCAAUGGGCGCGAGCCUGAACCAGCCAAGUCGCGUGAAGGAUGACUGCCCUACGGGUUGUAAACUUCUUUUAUAAAGGAAUAGAGUGAGGCACAUGUGCCUUUUUGUAUGUACUUUAUUAAUAAGGAUCGGCUAACUCCGUGCCAGCAGCCGCGGUAAUACGGAGGAUCCGAGCGUUAUCCGGAUUUAUUGGGUUUAAAGGGAGCGUAGAUGGGUUGUUAAGUAAGUUGUGAAAGUUUGCGGCUCAACCGUAAAAUUGCAAUUGAUACUGGCAGGCUUGAGUACAGUUGAGGUAGGCGGAAUUCGUGGUGUAGCGGUGAAAUGCUUAGAUAUCACGAAGAACUCCGAUUGCGAAGGCAGCUUACUAAACUGCCACUGACAUUGAUGCUCGAAAGUGUGGGUAUCAAACAGGAUUAGAUACCCGAGUAGUC